CUUCUCUCAGUCCAUCCUGCCUCCUGCUUCAGCCCCAAUGCUUGUGAUCUCGGCUGGCAGUUUCUGAGCUCCGAGCGCUCCGCUUCUCUGUUUUUGCGCAGCGCCCUCAUUCUGCCAACCAAUCGCCGAGGAGCACCACCCACCGAGCGCCUGUUCGUUGGCUAAAGUGGCCGUCAAGUAGUUACGUCACGCGGCAGCCAGGCGGGGCGGGGCAGAACUCUCGCCUGGCUGCCGGAGUGAGUGUGAGUGUGAGAGCAAGAACAGCCCGCAGGUCCCGAGGCGCUUGCUGGGGACUCUGCCGCGGAAAGUUCCCAGUCCCCAGCCGCAGUGAGGUCCUUCUACCUAAUUCUUGUUCCUUGUGCCCAGAAGAGGACUGGAAAACUCUCCUCACAGGACUGCAUACUGUUACCUCUGAGAAAUCAGAAAGAAGAAAGUACAUCAUCCUUGCGAGUCUCUACCCCAGAGAAUACUGGAAGGUUUUACCUAGAGCAACAAGACAACAAAAUGUGACACAAAAUCUUAGAGGAUACUGACUGGAAAGUCCAUUGCUCCCGUUUAUGCCACAGCUCUGGUAAAGAAAGGCCUGUCCCACUUCUGCUAGUCCACACACUUUUGCUAGCAUUUUGAUAACAUAGCAUGAAGUCUCUUACCACUUUGUGGAUCCAGCACUCUGGUUCAGACCAAAACAACAAGAAGCAACAGAACAGAGACCAGAGGUCUAGAUAUCAAGAGUCCAUUCUAUUGAUAGAGGGGACUAUCAAUGAAAAUAGAUUGUGUCCUCCUAUCUACAUCCAAUGGCAUGCGGUGCCCAAGGAGGCCAUAAGAAGACACUGGAUCUCCUGGAACUGGAAUUUUUGAAGUCUGUAACCUGCCAUAAUGGAGCUGGAACUAUUGCUCUGGCACCGAGUCUGUCUGCCUGUUGCUAUGAUCUUCACCAUAAUUGUCAUGGAUUCACCUUCUGAAGUACUUCAGGAUCUAAGAAAUGGUGGCCAUCAUAAGUUUUUUUGAGCUUCUAAAAUAGAACCCUGACACCUAGAAAUGAGUCAGUUACCAUCUUCAAGGCAAAGAACUACAAAGUUUGGCCUUUGGUGUUGAAAUGAAGAGAGCUACAUUCAUGCAUACAUAUCUGGACUUCAUGAAUUUGUUUCUAUUUCCAUUUUGUUACUCCUCUGAGACAAAAUAAGUAUGAAGCUUGUCUCUAAAAUUAUAAUUAUGCAUUAUUGUUCAUUUGAAGUGACCUAGUUAAGAAUUACUAAAACAUUUGAAACCAUAAAGCAUUUAAGUUCCUCAUAAGGGCUAUAGAUGGAAUUAUAAGAAAAUUAUAACCACCCUUGAGGUGAUUCUGGAUGAGGAUGAAUGAUUCCUGGAGGAUUUGCACUUCUACUGUGACUACUAAUAUCUGCUGAAAUUCCCUGCUCUGAGGGGUUAAUGUAUCUGACAGAUUAAUCGGAGGAACCAUGAGAGCAGGUGAUGCCUGUACCUUCAUUACUUGUUUUUCCUGCUUCUGUAAUUUUGAUGUUUUGUUAUUUUUCUGUCUCUGUGCUCAAACACUGAUUGGUUAUUAAAAUCAAAGACAAGCUGAAGAGUUGGACAGUCUUCCAGGUGAUUUAUUUUUUAUUUCUUAUUUCUGAAAGCUGACUGUAGCUCAUAUUGUAUAAGAAAAAUCAUUCCUUGCCUUUCUGAAAUAUAAUUUUCUGAUCUUUGUCUUGUAUUGUCAAUAGCCUCCCACACCCUAUAAGAGCAUCAUUGCAUUGUACUGGUAAAAUAAUGCCAUCCAGUCUUUUACUUAAUGAUUAUUAUGUUGGCUGUACUCGAUAAACACUAAUUACAGAAAUCAAAAUUAUUGUAUUCUGCUUGAUAUGUUAAUGACUAUUGAAUUCUGUCUUUGUUUUGCCAUGCUUGAUUCCUUAACUGUUUGGUAUAAAUAUACAUUCAAAUAUAUUUCUGACUUUCAGAGUAAAAAUGAACCCUAGACAAUGUAGAAAAUUCUGUUAACCAGAGUAUUUACAAUAUAGUGUCAUGAUUUG